CCCUAGCCCCGAUAGUAGUGGAAAUCCUUUUGUGCCGGGGUUCGGCACAAAAGAUUGCAACGAAUAGCGGGAUUAGCU
rnacentral:ncRNA from 2 species